rnacentral:rRNA from 1 species
AUUGAACGCUGGCGGCAGGCCUAACACAUGCAAGUCGAACGAGUGGCGGACGGGUGAAUUAUGUCUGGGAAACUGCGUGAUGGAGGGGUAUAACUGGUGGAAACGGUAGAAAAUACCGCAUAACAUGGGAUGUGCUCAGAUGGGUUUAGCUAGUAGGUGGGGUAAAGGCUCACCUAGGCGACGCUCCCUAGCUGGUCUGAGAGGAAGACCAGCCACACUGGGACUGAGACACGGCCCAGACUCCUACGGGAGGCAGCAGUGGGGAAUAUUGCACAAUGGGCGCAAGCCUGAUGCAGCCAUGCCGCGUGUAUGAAGAAGGCCUUCGGGUUGUAAAGUACUUUCAGCGGGGAGGCGUUACCCACAGAAGAAGCACCGGCUAACUCCGUGCCAGCAGCCGCGGUAAUUC